rnacentral:tRNA from 1 species
GCCCGGGACUGUUGCAGCAUGGGGAGCAGCUCAUGGGUGAGCAGCAUGGGGGCCAAAUGGUUGGUUUGGAAGGUGAGUUCGAACCCAUCCUGGGUG